AGUGAACGCUGGCGGUAGGCCUAACACAUGCAAGUCGAACGGCAGCACAGUAAGAGCUUGCUCUUACGGGUGGCGAGUGGCGGACGGGUGAGGAAUACAUCGGAAUCUACUUUUUCGUGGGGGAUAACGUAGGGAAACUUACGCUAAUACCGCAUACGACCUACGGGUGAAAGCAGGGGAUCUUCGGACCUUGCGCGAUUGAAUGAGCCGAUGUCGGAUUAGCUAGUUGGCGGGGUAAAGGCCCACCAAGGCGACGAUCCGUAGCUGGUCUGAGAGGAUGAUCAGCCACACUGGAACUGAGACACGGUCCAGACUCCUACGGGAGGCAGCAGUGGGGAAUAUUGGACAAUGGGCGCAAGCCUGAUCCAGCCAUACCGCGUGGGUGAAGAAGGCCUUCGUGUUGUAAAGCCCUUUUGUUGGGAAAGAAAAGCAGCAGGUUAAUACCCCGCUGUUCUGACGGUACCCAAAGAAUAAGCACCGGCUAACUUCGU
rnacentral:rRNA from 1 species